AUUGAACGCUGGCGGCAGGCCUAACACAUGCAAGUCGAACGAGUGGCGGACGGGUGAGUAAUGUAUGGGCAACUGCCUGAUGGAGGGGGAUAACUACUGGAAACGGUAGCUAAUACCGCAUACCAUCGGAUGUGCCCAGAGGGGAUUAGGUAGUAGGGGGGGUAAAGGCUCACCUAGGCGACGAUCCCUAGCUGGGCUGAGAGGGUGACCAGCCACACUGGAACUGAGACACGGUCCAGACUCCUACGGGAGGCAGCAGUGGGGAAUAUUGCGCAAUGGGCGAAAGCCUGAUGCAGCCAUGCCGCGUGUAUGAAGAAGGCCUUCGGGUUGUAAAGUACUGUCAGCGGGGAGGCGUUACCCGCAGAAGAAGCACCGGCUAACUCCGUGCCAGCAGCCGCGGUAAUAC
rnacentral:rRNA from 1 species